UACGGGGGGAGCAAGCGUUGUCCGGAAUCAUUGGGCGUAAAGAGCGUGUAGGCGGCCUUUUAAGUCCUGCGUGAAAUCCUGCGGCUCAACCGCAGACGGUCGUGGGAAACUGGAAGGCUAGAGUGCGGGAGAGGAGAGUGGAAUUCCCGGUGUAGCGGUGAAAUGCGCAGAUAUCGGGAAGAACACCCGUGGCGAAGGCGGCUCUCUGGAACGCAACUGACGCUGAGACGCGAAAGCGUGGGAUAGCAA
rnacentral:rRNA from 1 species